CCACCCAUCAUUCCAGUUACGCUAGCUGUGCACAGAAUGGAGCCAGUUCUACUAGGGAUCAUCACACGCGAAGCGUGUUUGAUGCCGGCCAAGACUCCUCGCACAUUGAUGCCCAUAACUCUGUCGAAAAUGGCAAGGUCAAGGUCCACAAUGCUCGGAGGCGUGUAGCAAGGGUAUAAAAGUAGCAUUGGGUCCAAGCUCAUUCGCCGUUGCUUGCCCUAGUUGGUGUUGUAUAUCAGCAAUGACGACUUUGGCACCAUUACUGAUGAAUUUCGCUGCAGCUGCCUUCCCGAUACCGCUUGCUGCCCCAGUGAUCAAUGCUAUUUUGCCUUUCAGCCUGCUUUGAUGGAAGUAUACAUAGAAACAAAGAUUUUAAUGGCAUUGAUCUUUCAAGGUUUUCUUUUUUAUCUUCUGGUUUGAUACAAAUUCUCAUUUCUCCGGCAUCUGUUUUUGGUAAAAGAUUUAAUGUUAUGUAAAAUUUAGUAGAGAAUAUUAAUGGGGUAACUAAGAUUUUUAGCAUAUUUCCAUGACUCAUUCUAGUUCAGGGAAAAUGUCGAAUAUGCUGAGGUAGUGGUUGGAUUAGUGGAAUCCAGUUGGGAUUGGUUGAAACUUACCAGUGGUCGCCAUCAAUGGCAAAGGCGAAAAAGAAAGCAAAAAGGAAAGGUUAAAUUUUGCUAGGGAUCCUAGUUUUUAUACUUAUUUAUUUUUUAAAUUUAAUUUCAUUUGAUUAAAUUUAAUUAUCAA